rnacentral:lncRNA from 1 species
AGCCACCCGCGCCGCGUGGAGCGCUUCGCCCAGGUCGCCGCGCGGGGGCCUGGGCAGAGCGGGGAGGUCGGCGGCCAGGGACGUCUCUCAGCUGGCAGUGCCUGGGAGGCUGCUCGGGGCGGGUGUCCGGGUCCUGCGGCGGGCGGCUGGAUGGCGAGCGGAGACGGGAGGCCUGGGCUUGGGCAGCGGUGGCGGUGUCCUGGCCCCGCCGGUGACGGAGGGCUUUGAUGAGGCCCGGCGGCCGCGUGCUUGCCAGGAAGGCCCGGGGCUUGAGGCCCUGGAAGGCCUGGCCCGUUCAGGAGUCCCGGCUGUUUGGGGGAAUGUCCCACGCCCUGUGGGGAUUUGAGCCGUGUCUCCCGGCCGACUUGGGUGUCCCGGUUGGGGUGUGGUCGGGCUGGGAGGGCUUGGUGCGGGCGGGAACCGCCGGGUAGCGACCACGUCUCGUCAGGGGGUUCGUGCCUGCUGCUGGGCACGGGAACGGCUCCGGGGGGGUCUUACGGGCGCUGAGGGGAUUCCGCAUCAUGGAGAGGUCAAGGGGAGUUGGUGGCCGUCACCCUUCGUCAGGGCAGGGUAGCAUCAGUGCUCCCGUGCUGGGGUUCCUGGAGAGCCGGCUGGCACGGACAGACUCUUGUGAGGGCAAGUGGCUGAUCGUGCGGCGGAUGGGUCCAGCAAAGGAGAGAAAGCUUCGGUGCGCGCGCGCGCCAGGGAAAGGGUGACAGCGGGUGGGACCGAGAGGGAGAGAGAGAGAGGGAGAGAACAAAGGAAGAGAGAGGGUUUCCGCAGGGGCGGUGAGUCCUGGCGGAAGUCCUGAGGCAGAGGAGGUGCCAGGGGUUUGGGUUUCCCGGUCGUGUCGGGGGUGUGGCGCAGGUUGCCCCAGUGGGCCUGAAUGUGCCUCCGUGGGGCACCUUGUUGCCGUGUUGGGGGGCGGGGAGCCGGCCUUGGGGAUCCAUCUUUCGGGCCCUGGGACGUGGGAGAAGAAUGCCGGGGCCUCUCUCUGUGCCCCUGGCACGCCUCUGUGCAGGCCGGGCCUGCACCACCCCCCGCCCGUCCCCAGGCAGGGUCCGUGUGGCUGCAGACACCCAGAGAGAGGGGAGGCUGGGGAGGCUGGGGAGCCGUGGCAGCCCGAUGCAGUGCGGGUCUCCAGGUGGAGGGGCCCUGGUCCCCUGGCGCCAGCGUGGCCCUUCCUCCUUGUGGAAACCCUUGUGGUGUGUGUGCUCUCUCGCCCUGACCCAGGAGAGCAGCAUGGCGGACCCCUGAUCUUGUGGCGUGCCACCGCGCGAGGCCGAGGAGCUCCCGCAGACCAGUGGGCGUGGCGUCCUUGUCGCGGCUCUGUGGAGACCUGGCGAUGGAGAGCAGCAUGGCGGACCCCUGAUCUUGUGGCGUGCCACCGCGCGAGGCCGAGGAGCUCCCGCAGACCAGUGGGCGUGGCGUCCUUGUCGCGGCUCUGUGGAGACCUGGCGAUGGUGAGCGGCCCCUGUCCUCAGUGGUGGAGAACUCGCCCUUGGGGCGCUCGUCUGUCCGGAGCCCCGGGCCAGCCCCGCUUCUCGCGGGCUUUGGCCCCGGCAGGCCAGCUCCGGGGGCGUGAGGGGGAGCGUCCCGUCCUGCCCAGUGGCUCGUCUGUCUGGGCACGCCCCCAAACGCUGCCGUGAUGGAGCGGGUGGGAUGUCCAGGUGCGGAGGCCGUGAAUUUGCCUUGCGGCGGCGGAGCCCGUGCUCGGAUCGAUGAUGACUCCCUCUAAAGCAUUCCUUGGAAAUCUGAACAAAAUGAGUGAGAACUCACUACCGUCUCCUCAUCGAAACUGAGGUCCGGCACGUGGCGGCCACCGGGGGCUCGGGGGUAGAUGGGCCCUUGGCCUUGGGGCCUCUGGUGUCAGCAGCCACUCGGGUGAGGGCUGGGGAAGGCGGCCG